rnacentral:rRNA from 1 species
AACAACUCACCUGCCGAAUGAAUUAGCCCUGAAAAUGGAUGGCGCUGAAGCGGGCGACCGACACCAUGCCGUUUGGGCAAGAAAAGUCUCAAAUGAGUAGGAGGGCGUGGGGAUUGUGUCGAAGCAUGCGUGCAAACGUGUGUGGAACGGUCUCUAGUGCAGAUCUUGGUGGUAGUAGCAAGUAUUCAAGUGAGACCCUUGAAGGGCGAAGCGGGGAAGGGUUCCACGCGAACAUUGAUUGGGCGUGGGUGAGUCGUUCCUAAGCCGAGUGGCAAUUGCUAAGUAGCGGCGAAAGGGAAGCAGGUUGACAUUCCUGCACACGGAUGUGGAGGCGGUGACGCACUACUGGGACGGAGACGCUGGCGGUGGCGCUGGGCAGAGUUGUCUUUUCUGUUUGACCGUGCCAAAACGAGCUGUGUGGAAUCCGCUUGUCGGGAGAAACACGCUUAUUCGGGCAGAGCGCCGGGACUUUUCCGGCGUCCAGCUCGCCACCGACGGCCCUUGAAAAUCUGUCUGCUGAAUUAAUCCACGCCGUGGCGUACCGAUCACCGCAUCAGGUCCCCGAGGUGAACAGCCUCUGCUCGAUAUGAAAAAU